AGAUCUGGGCCCUUUUCUGCCAGGCGCUGAAGAGACCUGAGGCUACAAAAUAACGUCCACGAUUGUCAGAUUAUCCCAUCCUCCCAGGGGGAAGGAAAUGGCUGCAAUGGAGCUGGCUCAGCUACUUAGGUUGGUUAAAGUUCAUCAUGGAGGAGCCUUGGUUCACUUAGGCCUAGAGCAGGGGGGCUUCAUCGACACUCGUGGUCUUCCACCCCCUCCCCCCCAAGUUAUCUAGAGUUAUGCCUAGUGACACCAUCAUGUGUGUGUGUGUGUGAAUGUGUGUGU